rnacentral:tRNA from 1 species
CAUUGGUUAGCCUAGUGGUUGAGGCUAUAAAUUGCCAAUUCGCAGACGGCGGGUUCGAUUCCCGUUCCGGUCG